CUAACUCCGUGCCAGCAGCCGCGGUAAUACGGAGGGUGCGAGCGUUUAAUCGGAAUUUACUGGGCGUAAAGCGCAUGCAGGUGGUUUGUUAAGUCAGAUGUGAAAGCCCGGGGCUCAACCUCGGAAUUGCAUUUGAAACUGGCAAACUAGAGUACUGUAGAGGGGGUAGAAUUUCAGGUGUAGCGGUGAAAUGCGUAGAGAUCUGAAGGAAUACCGGUGGCGAAGGCGGCCCCCUGGACAGAUACUGACACUCAGAUGCGAAAGCGUGGGGAGCAAACAGGAUUAGAUACCCUGAUCG
rnacentral:rRNA from 1 species